rnacentral:rRNA from 1 species
CCUUACCUACUCUUGACAUCCAGAGAACUUAGCAGAGAUGCUUUGGUGCCUUCGGGAACUCUGAGACAGGUGCUGCAUGGCUGUCGUCAGCUCGUGUUGUGAAAUGUUGGGUUAAGUCCCGCAACGAGCGCAACCCUUAUCCUUUGUUGCCAGCGNUUAGGNCGGGAACUCAAAGGAGACUGCCAGUGAUAAACUGGAGGAAGGUGGGGAUGACGUCAAGUCAUCAUGGCCCUUACGAGUAGGGCUACACACGUGCUACAAUGGCNUAUACAAAGAGAAGCGACCUCGCGAGAGCAAGCGGACCUCAUAAAGUAUGUCGUAGUCCGGAUUGGAGUCUGCAACUCGACUCCAUGAAGUCGGAAUCGCUAGUAAUCGUAGAUCAGAAUGCUA